UUGGUCUUUGUUGUUAAAAAUUCACUUUUUCAGAUUUUGUUUGAAAUGAGCUUAUCCAAAUUUACCUCCUCGAGUCAAAUAUCUUCAAAUGAAGAAAAUUAUGUCGCAUCUACAUCCCAAAAAAGAGGAAGUCAGGAAACAGAGAAAAGUAUCCACACGCCCCGCUACCAACGACUCCCUGCUGGCAAUUAAAGAAAGAUGCAUCUAACCACUACAGUAUAUUUUCAACAAAAAACUUCACCGAUGUCAGAAAAAAUCUGAAAAAAAAAACUAAAAAUUUGAAGUAAAGUGUCACAUUUUCAAGCUGAGUUUAUGAUGUUGUUACAAUUUAACCAUUUCUUUAA